GUAGGUGCCAAGCGUUGUCCGGAAUUAUUGGGCGUAAAGCGCGCGCAGGCGGUUUCUUAAGUCUGAUGUGAAAUCUUGCGGCUCAACCGCAAGCGGCCAUUGGAAACUGGGAGACUUGAGUGCAGAAGAGGAGAGUGGAAUUCCACGUGUAGCGGUGAAAUGCGUAGAGAUGUGGAGGAACACCAGAGGCGAAGGCGACUCUCUGGUCUGUAACUGACGCUGAGGCGCGAAAGCGUGGGGAGCGAACAGGAUUAGAUACCCUGGUAGUCCACGCCGUAAACGAUGAGUGCUAAGUGUUAGAGGGUUUCCGCCCUUUAGUGCUGCAGCUAACGCAUUAAGCACUCCGCCUGGGGAGUACGGCCGCAAGGCUA
rnacentral:rRNA from 1 species